rnacentral:sRNA from 12 species
GGUGCUGGUGGUGGCACGCCUUGUAGCGCAGGGUCGGGGUUCGAGUCCCCGUGGCGCC